CGUCAGGGCUGGAAUGAUGAGUCUCGCAGUAAUUGUCCAUGGUGAGGCGAUCCGGGCUCGGCAGGACUGUUGGAUCCCCCUGUCCUGUGACUCCUGGCACUCCUGGGGAGUCAGAGACGGAGCCUUCCUGCCAUCUCACCUGAGGGUCCAGAGAAGAUGGUGAGGCCAGGGGCAAGUGAGAGGGUUCUCACA
rnacentral:lncRNA from 1 species